UACAGAGACGUCAAGCGUUGUUCGGAUUCAUUGGGCGUAAAGGGUCCGUAGGCGGUCGGGUAAGUCAGAUGUGAAAGCUCGAGGCUCAACCUCGAUAGGUCAUUCGAAACUACUCGGCUCGAGGAGUGGAGAGGAGACUGGAAUUGCUGGUGUAGCGGUGAAAUGCGUAGAGAUCAGCAAGAACACCGGUGGCGAAGGCGAGUCUCUGGACACUUCCUGACGCUCAGGGACGAAAGCCAGGGGAGCAAACGGGAUUAGAUACCCCGGUAGUCCUGGCCCUAAACGGUGCUUACUUGGUGUGCGGGGAGUCGACCCCCUGCGUGCCGGAGCUAACGCGUUAAGUAAGCCGCCUGGGAAGUACGGUCGCAAGACUAAAACUCAAAGAAAUUGACGGGGGCCCGCACAAGCGGUGGGGCAUGUGGCUCAAUUCGAUGCAACGCGAAGAACCUUACCUGGCCUUGACAUGUAGCGUGACAGGCGAUGAAAGUCGCUGACGGUCCGAAAGGAUGCUGGGGCUACACAGGUGCUGCAUGGUUGUCGUCAGCUCGUGUCGUGAGAUGUUGGCUUAAGUGCCGCAACGAGCGCAACCCUUGUGUUUAGUUGCUCCGAUGCAAGUCGGAGAUCUCUAAACAGACUGCCUCGCUUCGAACGAGGAGGAAGGUGGGGAUGACGUCAAAUCAGUAUGGCCCUUACGGCCAGGGCUGCACACGUGCUACAAUGCCCGGUACAGAGGGACGCAAGACCGCGAGGUGGAGCAAAUCCCUGAAAACCGGGCCCAGUUCAGAUCGCAGGCUGCAACUCGCCUGCGUGAAGCCGGAAUCGCUAGUAAUGGCGUAUCAGCUACGACGCCGUGAAUACGUUCCCGGGCCU
rnacentral:rRNA from 1 species